AUGAGGGAAAACAGUCGAUCAUCAAGGUGCGGGUGUGAAGCCAUGAUUAGAUUCCUCCGUUCAAAUGACAACGGUUGGUACAUAUCAGAGUUCAAAUCAGGCCAUAACCACCCUCGAUCAUCAAGGUGCGGGUGUAAAGCCAUGAUUAGAUUGCUCCGUUCAAAUGACAACGGUUGGUACAUAUCAGAGUUCAAAUCUGGCCAUAACCACCCUCGAUCAUCAAGGUGCGGGUGUGAAGCCAUGAUUAGAUUGCUCCGUUCAAAUGACAACGGUUGGUACUCCGCACGCCGCCGGCCAAGAAUCAACCUCGUCGUCGCCUGGACACCCGGAGGCGAGGGAGUCGGUGCUCCGGCUGGCUCCUUCAGAAUAAAUCUGUCAUCCUCGCUUCUCUAA
rnacentral:rRNA from 1 species